AGGGGUUAAGGUUCCACAAACGGCCAACCCCAAAACAGGGGAAGACGACGCAGACAAAGCUGGAAAGGGGCAGGGGAAUGGAGCAGAUGAACCCAGCGGAUCCAACAGUCCUAAAGAUGAGUCAAAGUGUGAGGAAACCACACCAUUGAUGGAGUAGAAAGACAGACUGUAAAGAAUCCAGUGUUUUAGGAUGGUGUGGAAGUGAGGACCACAAAAAUGGGGUUUGAAGGCUCUCAGUACAUGCCUCCAAAUCUGUUACAUUGAGACAAACGACCAAGAAGAGAGAAACAUGUUUGAACGGUUGGAGAUGUUUUUAAUGAAAUAUAUAAUGAAGGAAACAACA